rnacentral:rRNA from 1 species
CACGGACCAAGGAGUCUAACAUGUGCGCGAGUCAUUGGGUUGAGCUAAACCUAAAGGCGGAAUGAAAGUGAAGGCUGUUUGUGUGGGCGGCCGAGGGAAGAUGGUACUGGGGACCCGGGCUCGUCCCGGACCCGGCCCGCAUUCCCGGGGCGUCUCGUCCUCAUUGCGAGGGGAGGCGCACCUAGAGCGUACACGUUGGGACCCGAAAGAUGGUGAACUAUGCCUGGCCAGGACGAAGUCAGGGGAAACCCUGAUGGAGGUCCGUAGCGAUUCUGACGUGCAAAUCGAUCGUCGGAGCUGGGUAUAGGGGCGAAAGACUAAUCGAACCAUCUAGUAGCUGGUUCCCUCCGAAGUUUCCCUCAGGAUAGCUGUCACUCGGAGAUAAAAUUCAAAUGAGUCUCAUACGGUAAAGCGAAUGAUUAGAGGCCUUGGGGCCGAAACGACCUCAACCUAUUCUCAAACUUUAAAUGGGUGAGAACUCCGGCUUGCUUGGGAACUGAAGCCGGAGCACGGAUCUCGAGUGCCAAGUGGGCCACUUUUGGUAAGCAGAACUGGCGCUGUGGA